UGACAACAAAGCCAGAGAUCACGACCACCCCGACUCACCCCACCGCCGGAUCGCCGAUGGACAAAGCGUUGGGUGCAAGUGCUGUCUGCGAACACCUAUUAAGAUCGGAGCGGCACACGAGAGGGUGUGUGGUGAAUCCGGGGCGACCGCCCUGGGCCCCCCUCUUGGGGGGGGGGUGGGCUGCGCUUCGACGUCACAGCAGGGCCCGCACGUUGUGAUUUGCCCCGCACUCCCCCUAUAGACCGCCCUGCGUCUGUGUGACUCUUCACAUGCAUGUGUUUAUGACACAGCCACCGAUGGCAAUUAGCGGCGUAAACAAUGAAAUGCAGGUGAUGCUGUUAUAAGGCGGCGAGAACGAUUGUUACGUAUGAUGAACUUAUUUCGCACCGUACGUAGCCAAACAUGCCCAUUGGAGAUGCGGGGACGAAGGACAAUAAACUGAACACAAACGUCUGCGCUAAAGACAUGAGUUUUCAAUCUCGGUGCUCCUAGUGGCUUUCCUAAUAUCGGCAGGAGGA